CCUACGGGAGGCAGCAGUGGGGAAUAUUGGACAAUGGGGGGAACCCUGAUCCAGCCAUGCCGCGUGUGUGAAGAAGGCCCUCGGGUUGUAAAGCACUUUCAGUGAGGAAGAACGCCUGGUGGUUAAUACCCAUCAGGAAAGACAUCACUCACAGAAGAAGCACCGGCUAACUCCGUGCCAGCAGCCGCGGUAAUACGGAGGGUGCGAGCGUUAAUCGGAAUUACUGGGCGUAAAGCGCGCGUAGGUGGCUUGAUAAGCCGGUUGUGAAAGCCCGGGGCUCAACCUGGGAACGGCAUCCGGAACUGUCAAGCUAGAGUGCAGGAGAGGAAGGUAGAAUUCCCGGUGUAGCGGUGAAAUGCGUAGAGAUCGGGAAGAAUACCCGUGGCGAAGGCGGCCUUCUGGACUGACACUGACACUGAGGUGCGAAAGCGUGGGUAGCAAACAGGAUUAGAUACCCGAGUAGUC
rnacentral:rRNA from 1 species